GAUGAACGCUGGCGGCGUGCCUAAUACAUGCAAGUCGAGCGAACAGACGAGGAGCUUGCUCCUCUGACGUUAGCGGCGGACGGGUGAGUAACACGUGGAUAACCUACCUAUAAGACUGGGAUAACUUCGGGAAACCGGAGCUAAUACCGGAUAAUAUAUUGAACCGCAUGGUUCAAUAGUGAAAGACGGUUUUGCUGUCACUUAUAGAUGGAUCCGCGCCGCAUUAGCUAGUUGGUAAGGUAACGGCUUACCAAGGCAACGAUGCGUAGCCGACCUGAGAGGGUGAUCGGCCACACUGGAACUGAGACACGGUCCAGACUCCUGCGGGGAGCAGCAGUAGGGAAUCUUCCGCGAUGGGCGAAAGCCUGACGGAGCAACACCGCGUGAGUGAUGAAGGUCUUCGGAUCGUAAAACUCUGUUAUUAGGGAAGAACAAAUGUGUAAGUAACUAUGCACGUCUUGACGGUACCUAAUCAGAAAGCCACGGCUAACUACGUG
rnacentral:rRNA from 1 species